AUCUAGUGGUGAGGACAGCUUGCACUUAAUUUCUUGAAUCUUUCCCAGUACUCAUACAAACUCUCUCCACUAAGUUUCAUGAUGCCUGAAAUGUCUUUUUUGAUGGU
rfam:Glycine soja cultivar W05 scaffold1393_17, whole genome shotgun sequence.